UGUUUUACCGGACUUGAUUCGGGCUCCGGCCCGAUCCUCCCACCCUUUGUGUACCUACCUCUGUUGCUUUGGCGGGCCGCGGUCCUCCGCGGCCGCCCCCCUCCCCGGGGGGUGGCCAGCGCCCGCCAGAGGACCAUCAAACUCCAGUCAGUAAACGAUGCAGUCUGAAAAACAUUUAAUAAACUAAAACUUUCAACAACGGAUCUCUUGGUUCUGGCAUCGAUGAAGAACGCAGCGAAAUGCGAUAAGUAAUGUGAAUUGCAGAAUUCAGUGAAUCAUCGAAUCUUUGAACGCACAUUGCGCCCUUUGGUAUUCCGAAGGGCAUGCCUGUUCGAGCGUCAUUACAACCCUCAAGCUCUGCUUGGUAUUGGGCACCGUCCUUUGCGGGCGCGCCUCAAAGACCUCGGCGGUGGCGUCUUGCCUCAAGCGUAGUAGAACAUACAUCUCGCUUCGGAGCGCAGGGCGUCGCCCGCCGGACGAACCUUCUGAACUUUUCUCAAGGUUGACCUCGGAUCAGGUAGGGAUACCCGCUGAACUUAAGCAUAUCAUAAGCCCGGAGGAA
rnacentral:rRNA from 1 species